AUUGAACGCUGGCGGCAGGCCUAACCCAUGCAAGUCUAGCGUGCGGCGGACGGGUGCGUAAUGUCUGGGAAACUGCUUGAUGGGGGGGGAUACCUUCUCGAAACGGUAGCUUAUACCGCAUCCCAUCAGAUGUGCCCAGAUGGGAUUAGCUAGUAGGUGGGGUAACGCCUCCUCUAGGCGACGAUCCUUAGCUGGUUGACGAGGAUGACCAGCCACACGGGAACUGAGAAACGGUCCAGACUCCUGCGGGAGGGAGCAGUGGGGAAAAUUGCACAAUAGGCGCAAGCCUGAUGCAGCCAUGCCGCGUGUGUGAAGAAGGCCUUCGGGUUGUAAAGCACGUGCAGCGGGAAGGCGUUACCCGCAGAAGAAGCACCGGAUAACUCCGGGCCAGCCGCCGCGGUAAUAC
rnacentral:rRNA from 1 species